AGUGAACGCUGGCGGUAGGCCUAACACAUGCAAGUCGAACGGCAGCACAGUAAGAGCUUGCUCUUACGGGUGGCGAGUGGCGGACGGGUGAGGAAUACAUCGGAAUCUACUUUUUCGUGGGGGAUAAUGUAGGGAAACUUACGCUAAUACCGCAUACGACCUACGGGUGAAAGCAGGGGAUCUUCGGACCUUGCGCGAUUGAAUGAGCCGAUGUCGGAUUAGCUAGUUGGCGGGGUAAAGGCCCACCAAGGCGACGAUCCGUAGCUGGUCUGAGAGGAUGAUCAGCCACACUGGAACUUAGACACGGUCCAGACUCCUACGGGAGGCGGCAGUGGGGAAUAUUGGACAAUGGGCGCAAGCCUGAUCCAGCCAUACCGCGUGAGUGAAGAAGGCCUUCGGGUUGUAAAGCCCUUUUGUUGGGAAAGAAAAGCAGCAGGUUAAUACCCCGCUGUUCUGACGGUACCCAAAGAAUAAGCACCGGCUAACUUCGUG
rnacentral:rRNA from 1 species